CAACACUUAAGAGCAAUUUCCAAUGGAGUUGAAGUCAAGGUUCAUGACAGAGGGCAGGUCCCCUGUUUACUAGUCUCAUAAUAUCUACACAUAGUGAAUUCUGGUUUAAAUGGACAUCAAGGUCAGUCUUGGUCAGUGGUACUCACAAAAUCCAACACAACACUUAGGUGGUAGAAGCAUUGCAAGGAAACAUCACCAAUAGGCAAUAGACAGGAAUAUACUUGCCGGUAAUAAUUGGGGGUGAGUGUGAUCCCCAGCACUGCCCCUCCAAAUUCCUCAGUUGCCACAGUUCCUAGAGGGAGUCCCAAAGCAAUGACCCCGAUUGCUCAUCCUGUAGAGAGGGUCUCUUCUUCAUUAAUUUCUGCAUGAGUCAGAUCCCAAGAUUUUUCAUAGCUCAGAAAUCAUCCACAGGAAGAAAGCCAUCAUCCGCCACAAGUCAUCACAAAACUAAAUGCUGUCCACCUUUCUCUUCCUUAGGAUAAACAAGACACUGACAUGGCACUGACAUGGAUCCUAUUCAUACUGCCAAGGCUACCAUCUGGGCUUGGCCAAACGACCACAAACAAGCAGGAUCCCAUACCAGGCAGCCCCAGGGCACACGCUGUUCCUGCCAUAGGCUUCAGAAGCAUCUCACCCACAAGGGCACCAUUCAGAAGCAGGCCGUGUGAGCCCGGGGAAGAGACAUUUCCCCCAAGAAAACCUAGAGAGGUGCAACGCAGAAAAUUACAGCCUCUCAGGUUGCAUCAGAAGGUGGUUCUAGUGACCUUCCCUGCUCAGCGUCUCCUGUUCCUUCUGAGGCCUCCUCUGGGACAUCUUGCAAGACCCUGGACACCUUUGAGCUCAGUUUGGAAACACAGAAUUAAUCAACAUCUAAGUAUCUGCUCCCAGCUCCCAUUCCCACACACGAUCAAGUGGCUGACUUCUCAGCAGAUCCUUGCACGAUUCAGCCGAUUUGUCAGAGCACAUCUACUGAUCCUUGGUGCCUUAGAAAGGCAUUGGUAGGAGGCUGAAAAUCAGCCCUUUAGGAAACUGGCAGUUCCCAUUCCAGGACAGGUCUUCCACUGGGUCUCUGGGCAUCUGCAUCGUACAAGCCCUAAGCCGGUAAAAACCUCAUUGGGUUAUGUCCUUGGACUUCCUCUAAUAUUCAUUGUCAGCAAAAAUGAAUAAGGCCUAAAUUACAGAAUUACCACUGGGCUAAAUUAAUCUUCUCUAGAAUGAAUGCAUCUUUAAUACUUCCAGCAAAAACUACUUUGAGAAAAAGAGAGAAGGGUUACCUUAUUUCCAGGCAUCUUGUGUCAACAAUCUACUUUAGGUUCCAUACUUGCCACUCUUGAAUAAUUAAAAGUCAAGGUCACACAUGUUACUGAAGAAACCCAUAAUGAACAUUUAAGCAUAAGUAUUAGAUUCUCUAAAUUACCUCAGACUGUUCUUUAAAGGGGAGUAAGAGAGACAGAGAGACCUUGGCCUAAUUUUUAUUUGGGAAAACAGCUUUUUGUGAUUUCAUAACUUUUUCUUAGAUAAAAAGAUUUAAAAAUUUAAGAUAAACUCUCACUGACUAGAUGACACAGCCUUCUUCUAGAAGAAUAUUGUAAGGUUCUGAGACAGCAGUGAUGUCCUGAUAUCACUGCUUGAUAGUGGAAGGAAUUUCAGAUAUCCUCGAAUCCUACACCCACACCCACAUUCUGCAAGUAAGCUAAUUGAGGUCCAGGUGGGUAAAGAAAUUUUCUUCAUGCACUAAAGCUAGCUAGCAGGCAGACAGAAACAAGAAUCUCGUGUUUAUGGCUCCAAAUGCAGUGCUUUUCCUACUACAUCAUGUAACAAAUGCAGAGCAAUUAGUAAACAUCUCUCAGAACUGUUUUCCCUCCAGCGCAAUUCAAAUUGUGUUCAUCAAACCCAUUUAUAUGCCGCUAACAAGAAUGCCUGCAUCAGUUAUGUCUUGCACACAUUUGCUAUAAAAAGAAUGAUCCUUAGGCCUUCAAAUGUCUCUUUCAUUUCUUGGGCCUCUGUGGACAAGCUGGAAGGAUUGGGAUGUUUCUGAGGAGCCAAAGAGUGUACAGAUGGCUGGAACACAGGGCUUGUCCUGCGGGUAAUGGGAAGGAAGAAGUAUAGUGAGCCCAGUGAUUCUCAAGCCUGGAUGCAGUAGAAUCAUUCAGAGAGGUAUUUGUUACAGUACAGUGCCAACCUACAUAGCCAGAGUUUUUUUACUUAUUUGGCCUGGGGUGGG
ensembl:lncRNA